ACGGGGUGCAGCAGGCGCGAAACCUCCGCAAUACACGAAAGUGUGACGGGGUUACCCAAAGUGUUCAAUUUUGAACUGUGGUAGGUGAGUAAUGUUCCCUACUAGAAAGGAGAGGGCAAGGCUGGUGCCAGCCGCCGCGGUAAAACCAGCUCUUCAAGUGGUCGGGAUAAUUAUUGGGCUUAAAGUGUCCGUAGCCGGUUUAGUAAGUUCCUGGUAAAAUCGGGUAGCUUAACUAUCUAUAUGCUAGGAAUACUACUAUACUAGAGGGCGGGAGAGGUCUGAGGUACUGCAGGGGUAGGGGUGAAAUCUUAUAAUCCUUGUUGGACCACCAGUGGCGAAGGCGUCAGACUGGAACGCGCCUGACGGUGAGGGACGAAAGCCAGGGGAGCGAACCGGAUUAGAUACCCGGGUAGUCCUGGCCGUAAACGAUGCAUACUAGGUGAUGGCACGGCCAUGAGCCGUGUCAGUGCCGUAGGGAAACCGUUAAGUGUGCCGCCUGGAAGU
rnacentral:rRNA from 1 species